UCUCAUAGUUACCAUCUCCUCUCUGUCCCUCCCCAGCAGCUUCCUAGAGCUCAUUAGGUCCUGUGACAGCAGAGGCUACUGCCAGAUGCAAAGCCAGCUACCCUAGGUCAUUUCGGGCCGCUUAUUCGGAAAUACUAGAGCCAGCAAAUUUCAGGAGCUCCUACAGAACUCCCCAGGGCACUAGCAUGUGCGCACAUCUAUGUGGAAUGACAGGGCAUCGUCUUUGCUGUGGUGUACUGUUCCCAGUUCACAGCCGAGGCGGAUUAUUUUCCAAAAACACAUCAGGGAAUUGGCGACACUUUGGAUGAGUGACAAAACUGCAAACGCUGGAAAUCAAACAAAGGCACACAAAACGUGUCUCUACAAAACUGGUUCCUGGGAGCCUGAUGAAGGGUGAGACUCUUGGAAGUUUGGGAUGGUGGGCUGUAGCAAGGAGAGCAGGUUGGCAGACUCCUGAGCUUUAGGCAUUGGCAGACAGCGGCUUCUUCUGCCCCAACUUGGUUUACAAAUGACCUCUGAGGAACAGAAGUGAGCAGCUGAGUGUUUUGGA